GUGGGGAAUCUUGCGCAAUGGGCGAAAGCCUGACGCAGCCAUGCCGCGUGAAUGAUGAAGGUCUUAGGAUUGUAAAAUUCUUUCACCGGGGACGAUAAUGACGGUACCCGGAGAAGAAGCUCCGGCUAACUUCGUGCCAGCAGCCGCGGUAAUACGAAGGGGGCUAGCGUUGCUCGGAAUUACUGGGCGUAAAGGGCGCGUAGGCGGACAGCUUAGUCAGAGGUGAAAGCCCAGGGCUCAGCCUUGGAAUUGCCUUUGAUACUUGCUGUCUUGAGUUUGGGAGAGGUGAGUGGAACUCCGAGUGUAGAGGUGAAAUUCGUAGAUAUUCGGAAGAACACCAGUGGCGAAGGCGACUCACUGGCCCAAUACUGACGCUGAGGCGCGAAAGCGUGGGGAGCAAACAGGAUUAGAAACCCCGGUAGUCC
rnacentral:rRNA from 1 species